UACGAAGGGGGCUAGCGUUGCUCGGAAUCACUGGGCGUAAAGCGCACGUAGGCGGAUUGUUAAGUCAGGGGUGAAAUCCUGGAGCUCAACUCCAGAACUGCCUUUGAUACUGGCGAUCUCGAGUCCGGGAGAGGUGGGUGGAACUGCGAGUGUAGAGGUGAAAUUCGUAGAUAUUCGCAAGAACACCAGUGGCGAAGGCGGACUCACUAGCCCGGUACUGACGCUGAGGUGCGAAAGCGUGGGGAGCAAACAGGG
rnacentral:rRNA from 1 species